ACGGGAGGCAGCAGUGAGGAAUAUUGGUCAAUGGGCGGAAGCCUGAACCAGCCAAGUCGCGUGAAGGAAGACGGUAUUAUGUAUUGUAAACUUCUUUAGCAGUAGAGCAAUAAGUUCCACGCGUGGAAUGAUGAGAGUAUACUGAGAAUAAGCAUCGGCUAACUCCGUGCCAGCAGCCGCGGUAAUACGGAGGAUGCGAGCGUUAUCCGGAUUCAUUGGGUUUAAAGGGUGCGCAGGCGGCCCAGUAAGUCAGCGGUUAAAUAGUGAGGCUCAACCUCAUCCCGCCGUUGAUACUGCAGGGCUUGAUUGCGGUCGAGGUUGGCGGAAUUCGUCGUGUAGCGGUGAAAUGCAUAGAUAUGACGAAGAACACCGAUUGCGUAGGCAGCUGACCAGACCGUAAAUGACGCUCAUGCACGAAAGUGCGGGGAUCGAACAGGAUUAGAUACCCUGGUA
rnacentral:rRNA from 1 species